GAUGUCUCUUUUGGGGUCUGCCACCUGGCCCCACUGCACUCACCUCUCAGGAUUUCCUCACAAUGAUGGCAGCUCGGACCACGUGACACCUGUAGUUCUGCAGCCCUCUUUUCACUUAGCAUUGUAUUGUGCGCGUUACCCAGGCAUCACUGGAAGGUUUUCCCAGACAUGCUGGGGGCGGGGCUGUGUAACAUUCAUCUUGCAUUUUCUUUUUUGUUUUGUAUUUUUUUUAAUUUUUAUUUUUUUCGGAUGUGCAUCAUAUUUGGAAUUCUGUGUACAUUACAUCAUGUUCACCACCCGAACACUAAUUAUAGUGCAUCCCCUUACAUGUGACCCAAAUCACCCCUUUUGCCCUCCCCCUCCCCCCUUCCCCAAUGGUAACCACCAGUCCAAUCUCCAGUGCUAUAUGUUUUGGGGGUUUUUUUGUCGUUUUUAUCUUCUCCUUAUGAGUGAGAUCAUAUGGUAUUUGACUUUCUCCCUCUGACUUAUUUCACUCAGCAUAAUACCCUCAAGGUCCAUCCAUGUUGUCACAAAUAGGGCUGUGUGACAUUCAUCUUGAGGAUGUGUCACUGUUAUUUAACCAGGCCCUCACUGUGGACAUUAGGCUGCUUCCUCUUUUCCCCGUGGUCCGGACCAGAAGGCUGGGCAGCGCACCUGUGCGCUCCAGGUGGGCAGGGCCAGCUGGAAUCGCUGCGGCUCCUGGAGCGAGGCUCACACGCCCACGCUUGCUGACUGAUGAGAGAGCCUCUGUCUGUUUGGACCCCGUCCGUCUAGAAUAUGGCAUGACCUUGCUGCAGACCCCAGGGGCCUGGGCCCUGAUUCUCCUGCUGGGCUUGCCCACCAAGCCCACAAGCUUGCCCAUCACUGAUGUAGGCAACACCAGCCUGCCCGCUGCAGGACCUUUUCCUGCUCCGGGUGCCCUCCAAGUUGUCAGCCCUGUGUCACCUGGGAAACGGCCAGAGCACAUGCCUGGGUGGGGGCUGUGCUGCCUCCAGCGCCUGCAGAAGCUCGACAGGAGUGGUGCUCCCUCUUCAUGGCGGAAGGUGCAAGAUGCAAGAACCCGUCCUUUGCUCUGAGCGGGUGCCCAGGAACGCCCCUUUGCCCUGGGCCACUAGAAUUUUUACAGGUGUGGCAGGCCUCAGAAUCUCCUUGAUCUCUGGCCGUGGCAUCUGCUGCUGCCCGAGGCCGCCCUCUUGAGUGCCCAUGUGUCACCACGGCAUGUUGCUCAGCCAGCCCAGCCACAUCAUGUCACUGAGGAAAUGGAUCGAUGUGACACUGUGAGGAACGUCGCUGUGGUCCAGGGCAGGGGAGUUACACAUAGCCCUGGGUGGCUGCACAUAUGUGCUGUGUGCAUCCAUGUGGAGGACGUGGUCUGUCUCUGAUGGGAUGGAGAAUGCACCAUACCACAGGGCCUCGUGUCCCUGGGGCCACAUCACUCUGCCCUGGAGGCUGUGGUCACCCUCCAGGAUCUAUUCCCUUUUAGUAAGGACUGGACCGGUGAAUGAAAUGGACGUAUGAGGGGACCAAUGCCCCUGCAUCCUUCAGCUCCUCCAGGACGGCACCAAUCUCGCCGUCUCCCUCCCCACAGGCGACCUUGGUCUCCUUUACUCUCUUGGCUGCAGAGGGAGGAGUUGCACAGCUUUCCUUUAACCUUUGCACUAUGAUCACGAUGAUGGCUCUGCCCACAGACCAAGGAUCCUAUGGGGCAAAUGUCAAUCAUUGUUCACAGACUGGGGAAGUGACCACUGGGUGGGUCUGCAACCCAGUGGACCCCCUGUAAGCUGGACCUUGGGCAGAAUGCCAUUAAUCACCACUCUAACAGGGGUCUCUGGAUACCAGUGUCGACCCUGGCCUGGUCCUAUGGCCCCUAAAACCUCUGGCACUCCCUUCCCCAGUGCAGUUGCUGUAGGUCCCCCUGGGGAGGCAGAGCCAUGCGCCCUUUCUCACAUGGUCAGAGGACAUUAAGGAUGGGAGACGGAGAGGCCGAGAUGGUCACCCCACAAACAGCACAAUCCCGGACUCAGUUUCGGCCCUGAGCCAGCUUUCAGACCUGGGACCCAUUGACUGAAGAGGUGG
rnacentral:lncRNA from 1 species